CAGAUUGUUGCGUAAUUGGUAACGUAUCUACAUUGGGUGUAGGGGUAUGGGGGUUCAAAUCCCUCCAAUCUGA
rfam:Candida auris strain 6684 Scaffold28, whole genome shotgun sequence.